GCCGGGGAGGGGCUCCCGGCCUCGCAGACAGCGGCUUCCUGCUUUCUGCACGUCCUCGCCGCCGCGCCGCCAGUCCGUUUGUGCUAGCUCUGGCCGUGAGCCGGCCGCCCGCUGCCGCCGGCCGCCCCGCAGCUGCCUGCGCCCCAGCCGCGCCUCGCGGCCAGCCCGGCUAGCUCAGGUCCGCUCCCGGAGCCCGCGCCCCUCCACGCUGCCCCCUGCCUGUCCCCGGCCAUGCUGUCCCUUCAGUACCCCGACGUGUACCGCGACGAGACCGCCGUACAGGAUUAUCAUGGUCAUAAAAUUUGUGACCCUUACGCCUGGCUUGAAGACCCCGACAGUGAACAGACUAAGUCUGGGACCAAAAUUUAACUCAUCAGAUCCAAGAUGAUAGACUCACUGGCAUCAUUAACAAGACUGCUUAGAGACGCAUGAGAGGUAUGCAUGGAAGAUGCACAGGAAAGGCCUACGUUGCCCCCUCUGACACCUGAAGUAUGCUGUCUGAACAGGCCUUUGUGGAGGCCCAGAAUAAGAUUACUGUGCCAUUUCUUGAGCAGUGUCCCAUCAGAGGUUUAUACAAAGAGAGAAUGACUGAACUAUAUGAUUAUCCCAAGUAUAGUUGCCACUUCAAGAAAGGAAAACGGUAUUUUUAUUUUUACAAUACAGGUUUGCAGAACCAGCGAGUAUUAUAUGUACAGGAUUCCUUAGAGGGUGAGGCCAGAGUAUUCCUGGACCCCAACAUACUGUCUGACGAUGGCACAGUGGCACUCCGAGGUUACGCGUUCAGCGAAGAUGGUGAAUAUUUUGCCUAUGGUCUGAGUGCCAGUGGCUCAGACUGGGUGACAAUCAAGUUCAUGAAAGUUGAUGGUGCCAAAGAGCUUCCAGAUGUGCUUGAAAGAGUCAAGUUCAGCUGUAUGGCCUGGAGCCAUGAUGGGAAGGGAAUGUUCUACAACUCAUACCCUCAACAGGAUGGAAAAAGUGAUGGCACAGAGACAUCCACCAAUCUCCACCAAAAGCUCUACUACCAUGUCUUGGGAACCGAUCAGUCAGAAGAUAUUUUGUGUGCUGAGUUUCCUGAUGAACCUAAAUGGAUGGGUGGAGCUGAGUUAUCUGAUGAUGGCCGCUAUGUCUUGUUAUCAAUAAGGGAAGGAUGUGAUCCAGUAAACCGACUCUGGUACUGUGACCUACAGCAGGAAUCCAGUGGCAUCGCGGGAAUCCUGAAGUGGGUAAAACUGAUCGACAACUUUGAAGGAGAAUAUGACUACGUGACCAAUGAGGGGACGGUGUUCACAUUCAAGACGAAUCGCCAGUCUCCCAACUAUCGCGUGAUCAACAUUGACUUCAGGGAUCCUGAAGAGUCUAAGUGGAAAGUACUUGUUCCUGAGCAUGAGAAAGAUGUCUUAGAAUGGAUAGCUUGUGUCAGGUCCAACUUCUUGGUCUUAUGCUACCUCCAUGACGUCAAGAACAUUCUGCAGCUCCACGACCUGACUACUGGUGCUCUCCUUAAGACCUUCCCGCUCGAGGUCGGCAGCAUUGUAGGGUACAGCGGUCAGAAGAAGGACACUGAAAUCUUCUAUCAGUUCACUUCCUUUUUAUCUCCAGGUAUCAUUUAUCACUGUGAUCUUACCAAAGAGGAACUGGAGCCAAGAGUUUUCCGAGAGGUGACCGUAAAAGGAAUUGAUGCUUCUGAUUACCAGACAGUCCAGAUUUUCUACCCUAGCAAGGAUGGUACGAAGAUUCCAAUGUUCAUUGUGCAUAAAAAAGGCAUAAAAUUGGAUGGCUCUCAUCCCGCUUUCUUAUAUGGCUAUGGUGGCUUCAACAUAUCCAUCACACCCAACUACAGUGUUUCCAGGCUUAUUUUUGUGAGACACAUGGGUGGUAUCCUGGCAGUGGCCAACAUCAGAGGAGGUGGCGAAUAUGGAGAGACGUGGCAUAAAGGUGGUAUCUUGGCCAACAAACAAAACUGCUUUGAUGACUUUCAGUGUGCUGCUGAGUAUCUGAUCAAGGAAGGUUACACAUCUCCCAAGAGGCUGACUAUUAAUGGAGGUUCAAAUGGAGGCCUCUUAGUGGCUGCUUGUGCAAAUCAGAGACCUGACCUCUUUGGUUGUGUUAUUGCCCAAGUUGGAGUAAUGGACAUGCUGAAGUUUCAUAAAUAUACCAUCGGCCAUGCUUGGACCACUGAUUAUGGGUGCUCGGACAGCAAACAACACUUUGAAUGGCUUGUCAAAGUUUCCCCAUAAGAGUCCAACCAGCCAACACCUUGACUUUGACCUUCUUUGACCUUGGAAGACCCAGAGCAGAGAACCCAGCUGAGCCAACCCAGACUGCUGGCUUACAGAACUGUGAGAUAAGAAGUCUGUGAUGUUUCAAGCUGCUAAAAUUUGUGGUAAUUUGUUACUGUAACAAUCAAAAGGUAUUAUUAUACUUUAUAUCAAAUAUAUGGGAUUUCCUUUUCUAAAUUAAGUAAAGAAUAUAUGCUCCUGAAAUGGCAGGUCAAGAGUAGGGGAAGGGGGUGUUCAGUAUGGUGGCUCAUACCUGUGAUCCCAGCACUUUGGGAGGCCAAGGUAGGGUAGAUCACUUGAGCUUAGGAGUUCAAGACCAGCCCUUCAUGGGCAAUGUGGUGAAACACUGUCUCUACAAAUAAUUAGCUGGGCAUGGUGAUGCAUGCUUGUAGUCCCAGCUACUCGUGAGGCUGAAAUGGAAGGAUGGCUUGAGCCUGGGGGGACAGUGAGCCAAGAUCACACCACUGCAUUCCAAGACCCUGUCUCAAAAAAAAAAAGGAAUAUAUUCAAAUACAAUUAAACUUCUUUUAUGCUCAAUAUAGCUACAUAUGUUUGAAACUGCAAGUUGCAUUAUUGAAAUCUUACACAACUUCCUGCAACCACUAUGCUGAUAACAAUGAGUAAACAGACAUUAAAACUUCUUUUUGGCCCUUCAUUCCCCAUAUGUAAGAGUUUUAUUUUUAAUCACCAGUGUUUGGCUCUCAGACUGGCACAAGAAGCCUGUUCCUCCUAUUAGUAAACUACAAAUUUUGAUGAAAAUAACUUUAGUUUCUAAAGUUUUGUUUUUUUGAGACAGAGUCUUGCUCUGUCACCCAGGCUGGAGUGGAAUGGCGCCAUCUCGGCUCACUGCAACAUCGCCUCCUGGGUUCAAGCAGUUCUCAUGCUUCAGCCACCUGAGUAGCUGGGACGACAGAUACUCUCCAUUGCAUAACGUGAAGUUACCAGAAGCAGAUGACAUCCAGUACCCGUCCAUGCUGCUCCUCACUGCUGACCAUGAUGACCGCGUGGUCCCGCUUCACUCCCUGAAGUUCAUUGCCACCCUUCAGUACAUCGUGGGCCGCAGCAGGAAGCAAAGCAACCCCCUGCUUAUCCACGUGGACACCAAGGCGGGCCACGGGGCAGGGAAGCCCACAGCCAAAGUGAUAGAGGAAGUCUCAGACAUGUUUGCGUUCAUCGCGCGGUGCCUGAACAUCGACUGGAUUCCAUAAACAGUUUUCGUGCUUCCUCCUGACAGCGACAGAAAACCUCAAGGGCUUUCCCACGUUGACACCAAGAAACCACUGGGCAUAAUGCUUCCCCACGGGAACAUUAUUCCUGCACUCACAGACUACAGUUGAACAGAACUGCCGUGGGAAUUUUAUCUUUUUUAGGCUUCUCCUUUUUAGCAAGCCCUUGGUGUUUCUUUUUCCACCCUGUCUAGGCACAUGUGGUUUUUUUGUUUUUUUUUUUUUUUUAAAGGCAUGUUUGGAUAAAUAGCUAAAUGGCAACAAACAAACACAUUGUGAAUAUUAGAUUGCUGAAUUAAGGAUCAUAGUCGGGCAUACUUAUCUAUAUCCAUAACCUCUAUAUCUUUAAAUAAAUGUGAGAACUGUUCUCAUGGAGAAGAAGACUUCUUUGCAACAAUAAUAAACGUUAUUUAAGAAUGA